CAGGAACCCAAUCUGCAUGAUCUUGUUUAUAGCCAGCUACAAACAUUUUGCAGCGUUUUACUAAACGUUUGUGAAGUGUUGUCAUAUAAAACAUCUCUUAUGAUACUUACAGAAGUCCCGAGGAGACCCUCAACUGGCUCUGAGAAAGCAAGCUAUCAUCUUGUGAAAUGCCCUGUGGAAAAGCCCAUGUAGCAAAGGACAGCCAAUAGCCAACAGAAAGCUGAUGCCCUCAGUCCAACAGCCUGCAAGAAACUGAAUUCUGCCAGCAACCAUGUGAGAUUGGAAGCAGAUUCUUCCGUGCAGUCUUGUGAGAGAUUAUGAAGCAAAGGACUCAAGUUGUGCCCAGAUUCCUGACCCACAGAUACCGUGUGAUAAUAAAUGCAUAUUGUCUUAAACCACCAAGUUUGUGCAAUUUUUAUGCAGCAAUAGAUAACUAAUACUCAAUAACCUAGAUUUUAAUAAGUCUACAGUCAAGGUAUAGUUUCUUGUGAGCAAUUCUUUUUUGCCAUUUGUGGAAAAAAUUGCACAUUUUGUUACAAAAUUAAAACCUUUGUGUAGUUUGAAUCUUUGUUGAGAGUUAUUAAAUGUUAUUAACUAUUAAUAAUUCAUUCAUUUUAUAAUAUUAAUUGCCAACCCCAUAAAAUAAUAUUUUAAUAUUAGAUACUAGAGAAUAGAGACAUUUGUGAAACAAAGAGAUUCUUAGAAUCUCUUUGUUUCACAAAUCAAAUUAUAUUUUUCUUAGUAAUGGUUGAACCCACUCAAGUCAUUUCCAAGUGAAAGAAAAAUUAAACAUGAUUAUAAUUCUUGUUCUACUCUUCUCUCCAUGACCACUCUUCUCUUCAGUGGUUAUAUAAGAAAUUAGUUUCAUCUCCAUUCUCUGUCUACAUUAGCAGUUCAUCAUCAUUCUUCAAUUAUGUAAAUAAUAUGGAUACAAGCAUGAAGAAGGCAAUUUUUUGUACAUAAUGUAUAAAUAAAAAGUAAUAUAAACAAGAAUUUUCCAGUGACACCCUAAAUAACUGCUAACUGUAUCAUUGUAAAUCAGCCUAGUUCAUGAAAAAAGAUUCAGUACAUAUGAAGCAUUCAAUUAAUCAUACUGCACAGACACCAUAGAGUUAUCUAAACCCAAGGAAAAAUAUUAUUAAUGCUAUUAUAAUCUUUGGAGACAACCAAGUCAAUGCUGCAGACAACACUGCAGAUUUUGUCCCUAAAAAUAUCUUCAUAGAAUCUUCAUUGAACCAUAAUCUGUACAUUUCUCAUUUUCUCCAGUUUUAUUGAGGUGUAAUAUAAUUGAUAAAUAAAAAUUGUAUAUAUUCAUUUUCACAACUGCCAUGAGAUUGACAGGGCAGUUAUUAUUAGUCCUAUUACUGCAUAUGGAAAUGAGGAAUCAAAGAGUUUAGAUUAUUUGUUUUAGGGCAAAUUGCUGAAAGCAAUAUGGAGAUGGAGGUCUCUUAUUACCUAUACAGGACUACUGCAUGCUACUGACAAAAGAGUAUUCCCUUAGGACCAGCUACCAUAAGAGAAGCGCCUGGGGGAAAUAUCACUACUUCUGCAGAAAGAAAUCUGAA
rnacentral:lncRNA from 10 species